rnacentral:rRNA from 1 species
AGAGAGAGACAUGCGCGCAUAUCAAUAAGCGGAGGAAAAGAAACUAACAAGGAUUCCCCUAGUAACGGCGAGUGAAGCGGGAAGAGCUCAAAUUUGAAAUCUUAAAGGGUUUCCCUUUACGAAUUGUAGUUUAAAGAAGUGUUUUCUGUUGAGGUUUUGGUAAAAGUUCUUUGGAAUAGGACAUCAUAGAGGGUGAGAAUCCCGUAUUUGACCUUUACUUUCAACUUUGUGAUACACUUUCAAAGAGUCGGAUUGUUUGGGAAUGCAGUCCAAAAUGAGUGGUAAAUUUCAUCUAAAGCUAAAUAUUGGCGAGAGACCGAUAGCGAACAAGUACCGUGAGGGAAAGAUGAAAAGAACUUUGAAAAGAGAGUUAAACAGUACGUGAAAUUGUCAAAAGGGAAGCGUUUGACACCAGUGUUGUUUUUCUGAAAAUCAAUUAAAGAACUGUUUAUGCUAAGUUGUUUAGACUUUAUCAGCUAUCUGUUUAGUUUUGAGCUUUUCUUUAAUGCACUUUUCAGUUAACAAGUCAACAUCAAUUUCUUUUGCUGUAAAAAAGCUUGAGGAAGGUGGCUUGAGAUUCGUCUUAAGUGUUUAUAGCCUCUUGCCUAUGCAGUCGGAGAGAUUGAGGUCUGCAGCGUAGAUCCUUCGGGGCUAAAUGCAUUUGUGCUAAGUUAUAGCAUUUUAUAGACAACUUGUUGACUAUGAUUUGUCUUGUAGCUUACUCGCUUAUGUUAUUUUACCUACGCUUAGGAUGUUGACGCAUGAGAUAUACGC